rnacentral:lncRNA from 1 species
CUUAACCAAAAAUACUCCUCCAAACAUGUAUAGACAUGCCAUAUGAACAAAGUCUCCCCUAUCUAAAGGGAUAGGAAUCCUUUCUGUACAUAUACAGUGUGGGAAUCUACGGUACUAUAAACAAUCGUAGCAUCAACCACAGCAACAAAAACGAUGACGACGACAACGACAACAAAAUAGAUUAAACAAAAGGCUAAAUUAUAUAAAACCCUCCCUGUUAAUAUCCGUUUUUUUUACUUUUUCUCCCUGUCAAUCAAAAAUCUAUACUUUGCCCCCUUAAAAUAUAAGAAAUGUUCAUAGAGGGUACGAUAUGACAAAAUGACCAAAGUACCUUCAUCUUCUUCAUCUCUUCCUCUCCAAUCUUGCUCAUUCCGACGAUGGAGGAGGGCGAGGGCGAGGCAGCAGCCGAGGGCAUGUGUGUGGGCAUGGAUGAGGGUUUCAAGGAUAUUUUGGGUAUAAAAAAUAAGAUAUAAACGGAAUCCUAACGAAACACUUACGGCGGGAGAUAAAGUGAACAUUUUUUAUUUUUUAAGAGGGCAAAAGUGAACGUUUUUUAUUUUGAGCUAAAGUGAACACUUACGGCGGGAGCUAAAGUAAACAUUUUUUAUUUUGGGUAUAAAAAAUAAUAUAUAAACGGAAUCCUAACGAAACAUUUACGGCGAGAGCUAAAGUGAACAUUUUUUGUUUUUUAAGAUGGCAAAGUAUAGGUUUUUGAAUGACAGAAGAAGAAGUGAAAAAGCGGAUAUUGACAGGAGGGUUUUCUGUAAUUUAGCUUAAACAAAAUGAAUAAUUUACUACCACACCCAAUCUCCUCAAACAACAAGAAUAAGACUAUAUAAACAUCGGGAGAAUAUCUACAAGGUGAUGAACACUAAGUACUAAAUCCGAAAACUCCAAAGAAGAAGGUACUAAGAAGUAUAAAUCCACAACUGCAAAAUAUUAAAUAAUCAAAUGACAAAGAAUAAAGUCUAAAAGAACAUAAGGUUCGACCCAAAAGUCAGCUCGCUACUCAUAAGGUCAAAGUUAAUUAAAAUCGUCCCAUGCACUAUCCCGAACCUCAUAUCUUGUUAGAACAAAUGCCGCACAGAAAUCUAAUUAUGAUUUAAAUGUAACUAAAUUUUAUUAUGAAAAUAAAUAAAUCAACUUACAGAUAAUCGUUAAAUCCAUAUAGAAAAUUUGAUCGAUCCGGAAGCGUGCGAAGCACUGCCCUAUGGCGUAUUCCUGUCCUUACGUGCGGGAUUAACCGGAAAUAACACCCCAAGGUACGAUCGGAAUUUCUCAUUCUGCGAGCACGAUCGUGAAGAAGAUUGACGAAGACUCUUUCAACUCCCAGCGAUAAGAAUCAAUCAAAAUAAAGAAAAUUGAAAAAUGGAAUAAACUUAAAAUAAAUUUUCUUUG